UACGUAGGGUGCGAGCGUUGUCCGGAAUUAUUGGGCGUAAAGAGCUUGUAGGCGGUUUGUCGCGUCUGCCGUGAAAAUCCGAGGCUCAACCUCGGACUUGCGGUGGGUACGGGCAGACUAGAGUGUGGUAGGGGAGACUGGAAUUCCUGGUGUAGCGGUGAAAUGCGCAGAUAUCAGGAGGAACACCGUGGCGAAGGCGGGUCGUCUGGGCCGAUACUGACGCUGAGGAGCGAAAGCGUGGGGAGCGAACAGG
rnacentral:rRNA from 1 species